AUCUUAUCUAGAGUGGUGGAGGGAAAGGCCCGAUGAAACCCGGCAACCAAGUCUUUUAAAGGCUCAGGUGCUAAUUCCUACAAAACGGAAAUUAGUUUUGUAAGAUAAGAG
rnacentral:ncRNA from 2 species